rnacentral:misc_RNA from 1 species
GAUGAAGAACGCAGCGAAAUGCGAUAAGUAAUGUGAAUUGCAGAAUUCAGUGAAUCAUCGAAUCUUUGAACGCACAUUGCGCCCGCCAGUAUUCUGGCGGGCAUGCCUGUCUGAGCGUCAUUUCAACCCUCAUGCCCCUAGGGCGUGGUGUUGGGGAUCGGCCAAAGCCCGCGAGGGACGGCCGGCCCCUAAAUCUAGUGGCGGACCCGUCGUGGCCUCCUCUGCGUAGUAAUCCAACUCGCACCGGAACCCCGACGUGGCCACGCCGUAAAACCCCCGACUUCUGAACGUUGACCUCGGAUCAGGUAGGAAUACCCGCUGAACUUAAGCAUAUCAAUAAGCGGAGGA